UACGAAGGAAGCUAGCGUUGUUCGGAAUCACUGGGCGUAAAGCGCACGUAGGCGGAUGUGUCAGUCAGGGGUGAAAUCCCGGAGCUCAACUUCGGAACUGCCUUUGAUACAGCACGUCUUGAGUCCGAUAGAGGUGGGUGGAAUUCCUAGUGUAGAGGUGAAAUUCGUAGAUAUUAGGAAGAACACCGGUGGCGAAGGCGGCCCACUGGAUCGGUACUGACGCUGAGGUGCGAAAGCGUGGGGAGCAAACAGG
rnacentral:rRNA from 1 species